rnacentral:rRNA from 1 species
UACGUAGGUGACCAGCGUUGUCCGGAUUUACUGGGCGUAAAGAGCGCGCAGGCGGUCGUUCAAGUCGAGUGUGAAAGCCCCCGGCUCAACUGGGGAGGGUCACUCGAUACUGAUCGACUUGAAGGCAGGAGAGGGAAGCGGAAUUCCCGGUGUAGUGGUGAAAUGCGUAGAUAUCGUGAGGAAUACCAGAGGCGAAGGCGGCUACCUGGACAAUUGCUGACGCUCAGGCACGAAAGCGUGGGGAGCAAAAGGG